UACGUAGGUGGCAAGCGUUGUCCGGAAUUAUUGGGCGUAAAGCGCGCGCAGGUGGUUCUUUAAGUCUGAUGUGAAAGCCCACGGCUCAACCGUGGAGGGUCAUUGGAAACUGGGGAACUUGAGUGCAGAAGAGGAUAGUGGAAUUCCAAGUGUAGCGGUGAAAUGCGUAGAGAUUUGGAGGAACACCAGUGGCGAAGGCGACUAUCUGGUCUGUAACUGACACUGAGGCGCGAAAGCGUGGGGAGCAAACA
rnacentral:rRNA from 1 species